GACACUGCAUUAACCGUGUUCAUGUUAUUGAUGGUCGGUAUCCAGGGUAGAGACAGGCUGUGUAAUGUUAUUGAUGGUAGGUAUCCAGGGUAGAGACAGGCUGUGUAAUGUUAUUGAUGGUAGGUAUCCAGAGUAGAGACGGGCUGUGUAAUGUUAUUGAUGGUAGGUAUCCAGAGUAGAGACAGGCUGUGUAAUGUUAUUGAUGGUAGGUAUCCAGAGUAGAGACAGGCUGUGUAAUGUUAUUGAUGGUAGGUAUCCAGAGACAGGCUGUGUAAUGUUAUUGAUGGUAGGUAUCCAGAGUGUAGAGAGGCUGUGUAAUGUUAUUGAUGGUAGGUAUCCAGAGUAGAGACGGGCUGUGUAAUGUUAUUGAUGGUAGGUAUCCAGAGUGUAGAGAGGCUGUGUAAUGUUAUUGAUGGUAGGUAUCCAGAGUAGAGACAGGCUGUGUAAUGUUAUUGAUGGUAGGUGUCCAGAGUAGAGACGGGCUGUGUAAUGUUAUUGAUGGUAGGUAUCCAGAGUAGAGACAGGCUGUGUAAUGUUAUUGAUGGUAGGUAUCCAGAGUGUAGAGAGGCUGUGUAAUGUUAUUGAUGGUAGGUAUCCAGAGUAGAGACAGGCUGUGUAAUGUUAUUGAUGGUAGGUAUCCAGAGUAGAGACAGGCUGUGUAAUGUUAUUGAUGGUAGGUAUCCAGAGUAGAGACAGGCUGUGUAAUGUUAUUGAUGGUAGGUAUCCAGAGUAGAGACAGGCUGUGUAAUGUUAUUGAUGGUAGGUAUCCAGAGUAGAGACGGGCUGUGUAAUGUUAUUGAUGGUAG